rnacentral:tRNA from 1 species
CCCUCGGUGGUAUAAAUGGUUAACAUGCUCAGCUGCAAACUGAAAGGUUGGAGGUUCAAAUCCACCCAGAGGCA